GGGGUUGUGACUCAGUGGUAGAGUGCUUGCCUAGCAUGUGUGAGGUACUGGGUUCGAACCUCAGCAGCACAU
rfam:Ictidomys tridecemlineatus contig021696, whole genome shotgun sequence.